AUCUGGAUAGCUCAGUUGGCUAGAGCAUUGUGCUGAUAACGCCAGGUUUGCAGGUUCAAUGGGAUGACUGCAUAUUCCUGCAUUUCAGGGA